rnacentral:rRNA from 1 species
GGAGCGUUCUGUAAGCCUGCGAAGGUGGCCUGUGAGGGUUGCUGGAGGUAUCAGAAGUGCGAAUGCUGACAUAAGUAACGAUAAAGCGGGUGAAAAGCCCGCUCGCCGGAAGACCAAGGGUUCCUGUCCAACGUUAAUCGGGGCAGGGUGAGUCGACCCCUAAGGCGAGGCCGAAAGGCGUAGUCGAUGGGAAACGGGUUAAUAUUCCCGUACUUGGUGUUACUGCGAAGGGGGGACGGAGAAGGCUAUGUUGGCCGGGCGACGGUUGUCCCGGUUUAAGCGUGUAGGUGUGUGUUCCAGGUAAAUCCGGUUCACUUUAACACUGAGGCGUGACGACGAGGCACUACGGUGCUGAAGCAACAAAUGCCCUGCUUCCAGGAAAAGCCUCUAAGCAUCAGGUAACAUCAAAUCGUACCCCAAACCGACACAGGUGGUCAGGUAGAGAAUACCAAGGCGCUUGAGAGAACUCGGGUGAAGGAACUAGGCAAAAUGGUGCCGUAACUUCGGGAGAAGGCACGCUGACACGUAGGUGAAGUGAUUUACUCAUGGAGCUGAAGUCAGUCGAAGAUACCAGCUGGCUGCAACUGUUUAUUAAAAACACAGCACUGUGCAAACACGAAAGUGGACGUAUACGGUGUGACGCCUGCCCGGUGCCGGAAGGUUAAUUGAUGGGGUCAGCGCAAGCGAAGCUCCUGAUCGAAGCCCCGGUAAACGGCGGCCGUAACUAUAACGGUCCUAAGGUAGCGAAAUUCCUUGUCGGGUAAGUUCCGACCUGCACGAAUGGCGUAAUGAUGGCCAGGCUGUCUCCACCCGAGACUCAGUGAAAUUGAACUCGCUGUGAAGAUGCAGUGUACCCGCGGCAAGACGGAAAGACCCCGUGAACCUUUACUAUAGCUUGACACUGAACAUUGAGCCUUGAUGUGUAGGAUAGGUGGGAGGCUUUGAAGUGUGGACGCCAGUCUGCAUGGAGCCGACCUUGAAAUACCACCCUUUAAUGUUUGAUGUUCUAACGUGGACCCGUGAUCCGGGUUGCGGACAGUGUCUGGUGGGUAGUUUGACUGGGGCGGUCUCCUCCUAAAGAGUAACGGAGGAGCACGAAGGUUGGCUAAUCCUGGUCGGACAUCAGGAGGUUAGUGCAAUGGCAUAAGCCAGCUUGACUGCGAGCGUGACGGCGCGAGCAGGUGCGAAAGCAGGUCAUAGUGAUCCGGUGGUUCUGAAUGGAAGGGCCAUCGCUCAACGGAUAAAAGGUACUCCGGGGAUAACAGGCUGAUACCGCCCAAGAGUUCAUAUCGACGGCGGUGUUUGGCACCUCGAUGUCGGCUCAUCACAUCCUGGGGCUGAAGUAGGUCCCAAGGGUAUGGCUGUUCGCCAUUUAAAGUGGUACGCGAGCUGGGUUUAGAACGUCGUGAGACAGUUCGGUCCCUAUCUGCCGUGGGCGCUGGAGAACUGAGGGGGGCUGCUCCUAGUACGAGAGGACCGGAGUGGACGCAUCACUGGUGUUCGGGUUGUCAUGCCAAUGGCACUGCCCGGUAGCUAAAUGCGGAAGAGAUAAGUGCUGAAAGCAUCUAAGCACGAAACUUGCCCCGAG